UUAAGGUUUUGUAUGAAAUUCGUUUAUAGAGUGGAAAGAGCUAUUGGAAGUAUGGAUGCAAAUGAAGAUGGUUUGUUAGAUCUUUGAAUUGGUGUGUGGAUUCUGGAAAGCUUUAAUCCUAGACAUUGAGGGUUGAAGAAGAAAGCUAUGCAGACAUGCACUAUCUAGAGAGGUUAUCUCAAUCAUUGUCGCAAUUAUUCCAUGGAGCCUGUAGAUCAUUUUAGGCCUACAGAAUCCCACAUGGUGCGGCGCUACACUGCCAUCAACAUGCUACCUCACGAUCCCCCAUCAUAGUACCUUUACUGCCACAGCCACUGUUACUCGUCUGUCACCUAGAUUCGCCACUGUAACCAUUUCUUACAUACUGUUAUUUAUAUAUAUAUCAUGACAAAAAGCCUUUCGUUUGAUGUUCCUUAUGAUCCACAAUCCAUGUUCGUUAUUAUUAUUACAAUUAUUAUUAAGAAUUGAAGUGCAACGCGGGGGAAAGAGAAAGAACGACUUACCUGGAGCUGCUGCUUAAAGACGAAGACGAUGGUGAUGGAGGGCUGGCUAACCAAUGUUACUUUCUUCCCCUCUACUUCUGUUUUUCGCUCACUUCACCUCUGUUCUUGCUUUUCUCUGCUUGUUUCCUCUUUUUCUUUUUUGUUUCUCUUGUCCCCCCUGUCUCUCUCUGUUCUUGUUCCUCUUGGUCUCUCUCUGUAUUAUCUGUGUUUGUUCA